CCCUUAGAGUUUGAUCCUGGCUCAGGAUGAACGCUAGCGGCAGGCUUAACUCAUGCAAGUCGAGGGGUAGUCAUCUUCGGAUGAUGAGACCGGCGCACGGGUGCGUAACGCGUAUACAAUCUACCUUUUACAGAGGGAUAGCCCAGAGAAAUUUGGAUUAAUACCUCAUAGUAUUUUCGAAUGGCAUCAUUUGAUUAUUAAAGUUCCAACGGUAAAAGAUGAGUAUGCGUCCCAUUAGCUAGAUGGUAAGGUAACGGCUUACCAUGGCAACGAUGGGUAGGGGUCCUGAGAGGGAGAUCCCCCACACUGGUACUGAGACACGGACCAGACUCCUACGGGAGGCAGCAGUGAGGAAUAUUGGACAAUGGGCGCAAGCCUGAUCCAGCCAUGCCGCGUGCAGGAAGAAGGUCCUAUGGAUUGUAAACUGCUUUUAUACAGGAAGAAACACUCCCUCGUGAGGGAACUUGACGGUACUGUAUGAAUAAGGACCGGCUAACUCCGUGCCAGCAGCCGCGGUAAUACGGAGGGUCCAAGCGUUAUCCGGAAUCAUUGGGUUUAAAGGGUCCGUAGGCGGUUUAAUAAGUCAGUGGUGAAAGCCCAUCGCUCAACGAUGGAACGGCCAUUGAUACUGUUAAACUUGAAUUAUUAGGAAGUAACUAGAAUAUGUAGUGUAGCGGUGAAAUGCUUAGAGAUUACAUGGAAUACCAAUUGCGAAAGCAGGUUACUACUAAUAUAUUGACGCUGAUGGACGAAAGCGUGGGGAGCGAACAGAUUAGAUACCCUGGUAGUCCACGCCGUAACGAUGGAUACUAGCUGUUCGAGCAUCUGAGUGGCUAAGCGAAAGUGAUAGUAU
rnacentral:rRNA from 1 species